UCGGGAAUAUUGCGCAAUGGAGGAAACUCUGACGCAGUGAUGCCGCGUAUAGGAAGAAGGUUUUCGGAUUGUAAACUAUUGUCGUUAGGGAAGAUACAAGACAGUACCUAAGGAGGAAGCUCCGGCUAACUACGUGCCAGCAGCCGCGGUAAUACGGAGGGUGCAAGCGUUAAUCGGAAUAACUGGGCGUAAAGGGCAUGCAGGCGGUUCAUCAAGUAGGAUGUGAAAUCCCCGGGCUCAACCUGGGAACAGCAUACUAAACUGGUGGACUAGAGUAUUGCAGGGGGAGACGGAAUUCCAGGUGUAGCGGUGGAAUGCGUAGAUAUCUGGAAGAACACCAAAGGCGAAGGCAGUCUCCUGGGCAAAUACUGACGCUCAUAUGCGAAAGCGUGGGUAGCAAACAGGAUUAGAUACCCUGGUAGU
rnacentral:rRNA from 1 species